UACAGAGGUCUCAAGCGUUGUUCGGAUUCAUUGGGCGUAAAGGGCGCGUAGGCUGCGGGGCAAGUCGGGAGUGAAAUCUCUGGGCUUAACCCAGAGGCUGCUUCCGAAACUGCUGUGCUUGAGUGUGGGAGAGGCGCGUGGAAUUGCAGGUGUAGCGGUGAAAUGCGUAGAUAUCUGCAGGAACACCCGUGGCGAAAGCGGCGCGCUGGACCACAACUGACGCUGAAUGACGAAAGCUAGGGGAGCAAACAGG
rnacentral:rRNA from 1 species